rnacentral:piRNA from 1 species
UGGAAUCUGGGAUGCUCCUGGCUCGUCUA